rnacentral:rRNA from 1 species
GACGAACGCUGGCGGCGUGCUUAACACAUGCAAGUUGAACGAGAAUUUUUCGAGUGAUUUCUUCGGAAUGAUCAUGAAAAAGGAAAGUAGCGAACGGGUGAGUAACACGUGAUAAACCUGCCUUUCACAAAGGGAUAGCCUCGGGAAACCGGGAUUAAUACCUUCUUAAACCAAACACUCGCAUGUGAGCUUGGUUAAAGAUUUAUCGGUGUUAGCUGGUCUCGCGUCUGAUUAUCUAGUUGGUGGGAUAAAAGCCUACCAAGGCAACGAUCAGUAGCCGGAGUGAGAGGUUGAACGGCCACACUGGAACUGAGACACGGUCCAGACUCCUACGGGAGGAAGCAGUGGGGAAUUAUGCACAAUGGAGGAAACUCUGAUGCAGCGACGCCGCGUGAGUGAUGAAGGUCUUCGGAUUGUAAAACUCUGUCCUUAGUGAAGAUAAUGACAGUAACUAAGAAGCAAGCCCUGGCUAAAUACGUG